CCUACGGGAGGCAGCAGUGGGGAAUAUUGGACAAUGGGCGAAAGCCUGAUCCAGCCAUGCCGCGUGUGUGAAGAAGGCCUUCGGGUUGUAAAGCACUUUCAGUGGGGAAGAAAGCCUUGGGGCUAAUACCCUCGAGGAAGGACAUCACCCACAGAAGAAGCACCGGCUAACUCCGUGCCAGCAGCCGCGGUAAUACGGAGGGUGCGAGCGUUAAUCGGAAUUACUGGGCGUAAAGCGCGCGUAGGCGGUCUGAUAAGCCGGUUGUGAAAGCCCCGGGCUCAACCUGGGAACGGCAUCCGGAACUGUCAGGCUAGAGUGCAGGAGAGGAAGGUAGAAUUCCCGGUGUAGUGGUGAAAUGCGUAGAGAUCGGGAGGAAUACCAGUGGCGAAGGCGGCCUUCUGGACUGACACUGACGCUGAGGUGCGAAAGCGUGGGUAGCAAACAGGAUUAGAUACCCUGUAGUC
rnacentral:rRNA from 1 species